AUUUUCAUACACCUCUCUUUAGGACACCAAACAAGACAUGAACAUCUUCUCUGGUACUGUAGAAACUUUUCAAAACCAUCAUGUUGCUUUCGUCCUGCUUCACCUUCCCACAGGGAGAGAUUUAUCCAGCCCGAUAGAAAUAGGGUAUACAGAACAUCUCUAGCACUGUCCACCUCUAUUCUGACAAUUUCUCCUCUUCGAACUAAACAUUGAAGGCUGGCUAUGUGCACAGCCUCUGUCCAGUUUCCAGGGCUUAGGAUUACUUCACUGGAUCACUCCAUAAAUAACUAAAGUCCUACUAUGUGCACAUACUGUCGUAGGUGCUGGUGAAAGGGCAGUGAACAAAACAAGCUUAUGUAAAAUAAGUAAACAUACACUUGUACAAUGUAGAUUAUAAUAUUAAGCUUCUAGUAAGGGAGACAGGAGGUUAAAGAGGCAGUUAUUUUACCUACAGGGCCAGGGAAAGACUUGCAGACUGAGAAGGUGAUAUUUGAGCUGGUGGGAUUCAGGAAGUGAGUUCUUUGGUUAUCUGGAAGAACAUUCCCAGAAGAGUAGUCAGAGAGGGCCUUUUAAGCCAUUCUAAGGCUUUUGGUCUUUAUUCCAUGUGAGAGGGAUUGCCCUUCUAGGGUUCUGAGCAGAAUGAAGUUCUAGAAACCAAGUGAACCAAAUAUUUUAAGAAGAGAGUGAGCAAGUGUGUCUGGUGUUGGACAGGGUGAAUGGGAGGAGGCUGAGAACAGACCUUUGUAUGUAGCACCAUGGGGAGGGGUCAGUGGUGACUUCCACAGGAACUAUUCCAAUGAAGUAAUGAGGGUGAGAGCUGUUUGAAAUGGAUUCUGGAAGGAGUGGGAGGGGCUGGACAGGAGGCAGACUACGACUCUUUGAGGAGUUGGAGUUUUACUCUUAAAAGGAAGAGAAAUGGAACGGUAGCAGGAGGAGGAUGUGGGACCAGGAACAUUUUUAAAAAUUUUUUAAUGGAAGGAGUUAUUACAGCACAUUUGUGUGCUGGGAAUGAUCCAGUAGAGAGCAACAACUCAAUGAUGCAGGAGUAGGUAGACAAUUGCUGGAGCAAAGUCUUGGAGUAGGGUGAGAAGGGAUGGGCUCCAGAGCGCCAGUGGAGGGACAUGAGCAUUCACGUGACUACAGGAGGUAGGCUGCGGUGUGGGCUCAGAGGGACCUCCGUGGUCGGGAGCACAGACGUCCACUUGGUAUGGCUCAGCUGGCCUUCGCGGGCAGUUAGCAUAUUUGACAGACUAAAGUGCCAUCUGCCGUACAUCUGGUGAACCGUGUGCACCGGUGCCUCCCCCCCCCCCCCCCCCAUAGACACACACCUGUGGGCACUGUUCCCAGGGCUGUCCUUAUCCUCGCCACUUCAUGUUGGUAAAGCAAGCACUAUAUGUAUGUCAGUUCAAAUGCACUAUAUGUAUUGUGCAGUUUAAAAAAAACUUGGGCUCAGACCAGUGUAGCCACUAACGUAAGGUCACGCGUUGAUAAACAGUAGGGCAGGGGAUUGAACCCAGACAUUUUGACUGUUUCUGGGUUCUGUGGACCCAGGAAAUAGGGAAGGGGUAUUUACUUCCCAAGAUUGAGAUUCAAUGUCUUUUUCCUGCUCUUGUCUCCAGAGGAGUCCACCACGGGGAUGACUGUGUGAAUGCACAAUCCCUUCAGGUACACAAGGGUGCCUUCACCAGGUGGAGGGCAUCUCCAGAUGGGUGCAAUGUACAGAUGGCCUCGUUACCCCAUUUACUUGUGCAGAGGCUUAAAGCACCUGGAACCUGCCUCUCCCACCAUAGUCUUCGAGGGGCUGCAUUUGGACUGCACCCUCCUGCCCGUUCAUCCACCAAACCACCUUUCCGUUAACAUUCCACAGUUUCCUCUUGCUCUUUAGAUCUGGGGAGAAGCAGGGUUUUGUGCUCAUUCAAUUGCCCUGAACCAGAGGAUAAUAGAUUUUUCAACCUGGAAGGAAUCAUUCCAGGGAGACCUCUGGUUAAACUUCUUUGUAUUCACCCCAUUUUCUUUAUCCGCUCUGUUGGCAUCUCAGGCACCAGCUAACAUGUACUUCUAGAACCUUCUACCUUCAACACAAGAAAAUACACACAUCUGCUUUGUUUUCUUUUGGAAGAAGCUCUAAGAAAAAAGAUGUGAGAGUUCAGCUGGCUCCCUGCUCUUCCAAGGGCUGUCACUGCAAUCGUGUGGGGCCACUGGAGGCAGUUGUCUGAACCCCUACAGUGGGCACAAUGGGUUGAGAACAGAAUUGCCUGUGGAUCAAUCCACCACCAGGCACACGUUGUCUUCUGACCAUUUUACUCCAUCUACACCAAGAAGUUCUUACUGGCACCUCUUCAUGUGCUGCUCACUUGGCAUCCAUUGAUGCUCCACAUUUUGGACACGGAACCAUCGCUCUCACCUGGACCCUUUGGAGGGGACUAGGUUCCACGCAAGCACGUUGGAGAGGACGCACUUUCCCUUGCUGCCAUGUUUUACCCUAGCCCCUCAUUACUGUGUUCGGGAAAUUAUUCCUUUUUCCACCCCUAAUUAGGCCUCUGGGUACUUUAUGACUGCAGGAUUUCCUUCUUUUCUAUGGCUGAAGAGAGCCUAGCUUUUAAAGACUGUGUUUAUCACACAACAUGGCCCUUAAAUGGAAGCCUGCUUCAUCUGAUGUGCAACUGAAGAAUUGAAAUGCCUUUCGGUGCCAGAGGAAACACCAGCUCUAUGCAGGAUUUACUGAGAGAGGGUUUGUAAGCCGCCCGACUGGCACUGCUCCAACGGAUCUUCAAGGGACAUUUGGAUUGUGUGCAAUUCCAGCCCUUACACACUGACUUGAGAACCCUCUGCUCCUUGUUCAGUUUCCUGCUUUUAACAGAGUUAACAGGGGCGCCUGGGUGGCUCAGGUGAUUAAGCGUCUGACUUGUUAUCCACUUAGGUGGUCAUUUCCCAGUCAUGAGACUGGGCUCAUGCUGAGGGUCGGGCCUGCUUGGGAGUCUCUCCCUGCCCCCCCCCCUCCCUUGUGUGUGCAUGCACAGGUGCUCUCUCAGAAUAAAUAAACAUGUUUUAAAAAGUUAACAGAAUAUCUUGUUUGUUCUACACCAGCACAUACAAACCUAAUUUAUUCUUUUAAAUAGCUAUUCAGUUCUCUAUUGGAGGAUAUUUCGACUGUGUUCAGACUUUUGCUACUACUAUUAUAAUGCUGCAAGGAGGGAUGUGUCUUUUUAUAAUAAUACCUUUUGGGGAUCUUGAAUGACCAAGUCAUUAUAGGAGAACAAAUAGAAUAUUUUUGCUAUAUUUUUUGGAAAAUAGGGGCUUUAUUUUCUUUUCUGGCUACUUUUGUAUUGAUACUAUUUUGGUACUAAUUCCUAUGAUUUCAACUUUUCAAAAUUAAGCUUAAAAAUAUCAAUUACACCUGAAAAAUAUCCCAGUUAACAUAAUUUUAAAAUCCACUUAAUGGCAUUUGGAUCCCAAAAGACAAGUUACCAAAUAUCUUUUGUAGUUAGUGUUUAUUCAACAAAUAUUUCUUGAGUGCCUCUGUGUACCAGGGACAAUAUUAAGGGUUUUAAUAGAUUUUAUGCCUCCUAGUAUCAUUGAAAUUCUGCUGAAAUUCAAGACUAAGAACUAUGUAUAAGAUAAUUGCUCAUUUGUUCCAUUAAAUCUAUAACAAGAUAUUUGUAUAGUGGUAAGGUGGACAGGAGGGGAAAAGUAAUAUAUUUGUAUUAAAAAUUGUAUUUUAAUGUAUUUCCUAGAUAGCACUUAUAGAAACAGUGCUUUUCUUUCUUUUUCUUUUUUCUUUUCUUAAAAUGACUAUUCUGAAUGCUAUGGCUUAAUGUGAAAUGGUUUUGGAAGACUUGACUGUUCUAGAUUCUAGAAUGAAAUCUUCAAAAUAUAGCACAUUAUAAGCUAUUUUCUAUUACAGAGGUAUAAGUAAUCUCUGACUAAGAUUGUAAACCUGCUAUACAUAAAUGGAUUCCAGAUAAUUCAAUGCAGUUGAUAAUCCUUCCAUUAGUUUGAUAGAACAGAAAAUUAUUACAAUCUUUAUUUAUCCAAUUAACAUCUAAAUAUUAUAAUUAUUUUAUUUUUUACAUUUUACGUGCAUUAUACAUGCAUAUGAUAUAAAAUUUUUAAAUGGUGCAAAAGGCAUAUACAGAGCCAACCAGUGUUGCCAAUUUCUUCUGAGAUGUUCCAUGCAGAUGCAGGCAAUUAUAUAGACUUACAUUUCCACCUUCUGUCCUUCCCUCCCUCUCUUCUCUCUUUAGUAAUUGGUAUGAUCAGUCCUUCCUAAUUCUUUUUAUUUUUCCCUAAAUACUUUCUCCUGGCUCUUAUUGCUCAUUUAGUUUUAUGAUAGAACCUUAAAAUCAACUUGUCUAGAAUGAGAAAAAAAAUCCUACUAGUAAUUUUAGAAGUGGGAUGCACAAUAUUUAUAAGUUAGCUUUGAAAUAAUUGACAUCUUACAAGAUGCCGAGUCUUUUAAGCCAAAAAACAUGAUAUGCUUUCCAUUUGUUUUAGUCUUUUGAAAAAUGGCCAUUAAGCUUAUCUGGAGGACUUUUUAUCUUUUUAUAAAUUUUUUGGGUAGUGAUUCCUUCUGUUAUAGCUUCUGGUUGCUUUUUAUAUGUAUGAAAACUAUUGCUUUUCCAUAUUAUGUUUUUUACCAUACUGGAUUUUUUCAUUGUUUAUAGUAGUUGUCUAGCUGAUUGUCUUGAGUUCUCCAGCUAAGCAAGAAUUUUAUCUGCACAUACCUUCAGAACAAUAUUAAACUACGAUGAUGUGUA